CGGACGUGGCGGGGGUGCCUAUACAUGCAAGUCGAACGAACUCUGGUAUUGAUUGGUGCUUGCAUCAUGAUUUACAUUUGAGUGAGUGGCGAACUGGUGAGUAACACGUGGGAAACCUGCCCAGAAGCGGGGGAUAACACCUGGAAACAGAUGCUAAUACCGCAUAACAACUUGGACCGCAUGGUCCGAGUUUGAAAGAUGGCUUCGGCUAUCACUUUUGGAUGGUCCCGCGGCGUAUUAGCUAGAUGGUGGGGUAACGGCUCACCAUGGCAAUGAUACGUAGCCGACCUGAGAGGGUAAUCGGCCACAUUGGGACUGAGACACGGCCCAAACUCCUACGGGAGGCAGCAGUAGGGAAUCUUCCACAAUGGACGAAAGUCUGAUGGAGCAACGCCGCGUGAGUGAAGAAGGGUUUCGGCUCGUAAAACUCUGUUGUUAAAGAAGAACAUAUCUGAGAGUAACUGUUCAGGUAUUGACGGUAUUUAACCAGAAAGCCACGGCUAACUACGUGCCAGCAGCCGCGGUAAUACGUAGGUGGCAAGCGUUGUCCGGAUUUAUUGGGCGUAAAGCGAGCGCAGGCGGUUUUUUAAGUCUGAUGUGAAAGCCUUCGGCUCAACCGAAGAAGUGCAUCGGAAACUGGGAAACUUGAGUGCAGAAGAGGACAGUGGAACUCCAUGUGUAGCGGUGAAAUGCGUAGAUAUAUGGAAGAACACCAGUGGCGAAGGCGGCUGUCUGGUCUGUAACUGACGCUGAGGCUCGAAAGUAUGGGUAGCAAACAGGAUUAGAUACCCUGGUAGUCCAUACCGUAAACGAUGAAUGCUAAGUGUUGGAGGGUUUCCGCCCUUCAGUGCUGCAGCUAACGCAUUAAGCAUUCCGCCUGGGGAGUACGGCCGCAAGGCUGAAACUCAAAGGAAUUGACGGGGGCCCGCACAAGCGGUGGAGCAUGUGGUUUAAUUCGAAGCUACGCGAAGAACCUUACCAGGUCUUGACAUACUAUGCAAAUCUAAGAGAUUAGACGUUCCCUUCGGGGACAUGGAUACAGGUGGUGCAUGGUUGUCGUCAGCUCGUGUCGUGAGAUGUUGGGUUAAGUCCCGCAACGAGCGCAACCCUUAUUAUCAGUUGCCAGCAUUAAGUUGGGCACUCUGGUGAGACUGCCGGUGACAAACCGGAGGAAGGUGGGGAUGACGUCAAAUCAUCAUGCCCCUUAUGACCUGGGCUACACACGUGCUACAAUGGAUGGUACAACGAGUUGCGAACUCGCGAGAGUAAGCUAAUCUCUUAAAGCCAUUCUCAGUUCGGAUUGUAGGCUGCAACUCGCCUACAUGAAGUCGGAAUCGCUAGUAAUCGCGGAUCAGCAUGCCGCGGUGAAUACGUUCCCGGGCCUUGUACACACCGCCCGUCACACCAUGAGAGUUUGUAACACCCAAAGUCGGUGGGGUAACCUUUUAGGAACCAGCCGCCUAAGGGUGACAGAGUG
rnacentral:rRNA from 1 species